rnacentral:rRNA from 1 species
UACGGGGGGAGCAAGCGUUGUUCGGAUUUACUGGGCGUAAAGGGCGCGUAGGUGGCGUAACAAGUCACUUGUGAAAUCUCCGGGCUUAACCCGGAGCGGCCAAGUGAUACUGUUGUGCUAGAGUGCGGAAGGGGCUACUGGAAUUCUCGGUGUAGCGGUGAAAUGCGUAGAUAUCGAGAGGAACACCUGCGGCGAAGGCGGGUAGCUGGGCCGACACUGACGCUGAGGCGCGAAAGCCAGGGGAGCGAACGGG